rnacentral:rRNA from 1 species
ACGGCUAUACCAUGCUGAAUAUACCGGUUCUCGUUCGAUCACCGAAGUCAAGCAUCAUCGGGCGCUGUCAGUACUUGGGAGGGUGACCACCUAGGAACAUCACGUGCCGU